AUUGAACGCUAGCGGGAUGCCCUACACAUGCAAGUCGAACGGAGUGGCGAACGGGUGAGUAAUGUAUCGGCACGUGCCCAGUAGCGGGGGAUAACUACGCGCAAGCGUAGCUAAUACCGCAUACUAUUUGAGCGGCCGAUAUCGGGUUAGCUAGUUGGUGGGGUAACGGCUCACCAAGGCGACGAUCCGUAGCUGGUUUGAGAGGCCGACCAGCCACACUGGGACUGGGACACGGCCCAGACUCCUACGGGAGGCGGCAGUGGGGAAUGUUGGACAAUGGGGGAAGCCCUGAUCCAGCCAGCCCGCGUGUGCGAUGAAGGCCUUCGGGUUGUAAAGCACUUUUGGCAGGAAAGCGGUACCUGCAGAAUAAGCACCGGCGAACUACGUGCCAGCAGCCGCGGUAAUAC
rnacentral:rRNA from 1 species